GUGCUCACUUCGGCAGCACAUAUACUAAAAUUGGAACGAUACAGAGAAGAUUAGCAUGGCCUGUGCACAAGGAUGACACACAAAUUUGUGAAGUGAUCCAUAUUUUA
rnacentral:snRNA from 1 species